rnacentral:rRNA from 1 species
UACGUAGGGGGCUAGCGUUGUCCGGAAUCAUUGGGCGUAAAGAGCGUGUAGGCGGUCCGGUAAGUCCGCUGUGAAAGUCGGGGGCUCAACCCUCGAAUGCCGGUGGAUACUGUCGGGCUAGAGUGCGGAAGAGGCGAGUGGAAUUCCUGGUGUAGCGGUGAAAUGCGUAGAGAUUGGGAAGAACAUCGGUGGCGAAAGCGCUCUACUGGACCUCAUCUGACACUCAGGGACGAAAGCUAGGGGAGCGAAUGGG